rnacentral:misc_RNA from 1 species
GUUUUCAGAAAAUGAAUCAAGAAGGAAGCGUGAGACUGUGAAACAUAUUCAUAUGCAGUGCUUGUAGUCCUUAUCAUGAGGUGCAUGAAUACAGAAAAGUGGUGCAUCAAUGUUGGUAUUGGAAAAGUAACUUUGCUUGAUGUCUAUGUCAAUUAUGAAGGAUUCCUACCCCUAAGUAAUCCUAGUUGAAUAUAUCAAGAAACCAACCUGGAGUUAUUGACAAUGGCUGGGGU